AGCAGAGAGGAAAGGCAGGACCAAGUCUGGUUGCUUAGAGACCUCUGGAGAAGCCCACCUGUAAUAAGAAAAGCUAUUUCCUGCCUAGAUGCCAGGCUCCAUGCUUGAAUAACAAAGAAAGGAAACAGACCUCACAGAUGCUCAGAGUAAGAUGAAGUUCUUGCCUUCUUGUAUGUUUGUGUACCAUGUGCCUUUGGUAUCCACAGAGGUCAUAAGAGGAUAACGAACUGCCAGCAGCUAGAUUUACAGAUCACCUCCUGCCCUCUGGUCCAGGCUGCCAUAUCAUCCAGACAGCAGAGAAGCUGCAGCCAGAACCAUUGUGGGAAGUUGUGGAGUUGGGGCACCUCUACAAUCGUGUGAGCUGUGACUGUGUUAGGUAACAAAGUGCAUAUUUUUAAAAGCCAGGUGGUCAUAUCUGCUUUUGAGAUUUAUGAAACCAUGGGUCUCUUACUCGAGAGAAAUGAAGCAGAGUUUAAAAAAUGUCAGUGGUCACUAAUGAUAAAAUUGAAACGAAUACACAGAUAUUUGUGGACUAAAAUCUAGACUAUGGCAUUGACAAGUGAAAAAAUGAAUGAAAGUAUAACAUUCCAUUUUUAUGAAAAAUAACACAUCUCAAAUUUUCCUUAAAGGCUAAAGAAAAGAGUAAUUAUCGACUCCAGGAACCAGAGGUCACACUGAAGAAUUCUGAUCACAGAAACGCUUGAACUGUUGCUUCUGCCUCUGCUUCCACUUCCACAUCUGUUGCUGUUGCUCCUGCUUCUGCUGUUUCUACUUCUCAUGCUUCUGCUUCCUCUCCAGAGGCUACAGCCUCUUCUGCAGCUGCUUCUGCUGCAUGUGUUUACAGCUGUUGUUACUGCUGCUGUAGCACAAGAUCCCAGUGGAGGAGAGCUGCUGACUGAUUCCUGUGAAUGCUGUCCUUUGGAACCCUGUGUUCUUGAUGUGGAAGUGACUGAUUUAAAAGUGUAUACUUAGUGAGGGGUUCUGCUGGGAGUUUGUUCCUGAUGAUAGGCUUGUCCUGUCUGAGCUGAGAGUGGAAGGCAUACAGCAGAGGAAGGAGGAGAGCUCGCACUCAUGGUAUGUAUCCUUGCAGGAACUUUACCUGAUCACAUGAAAUGCUGUGAUUUGCAUGUGCUCUAUCUAUUGUUUAUAUUCUAACAUAAUCGAAAAGUAUGGCUGCUGUGGUUAAAAUGUUCAAGAAGAAUUUAAUGCCAAGACUUUGAAUUAUUAUGUGUUGUUUAAUACAUGAAACCCUUGAAAGAGCAUGCGAGUGAGCCUUCUGUGGGUGCUGCCUUUGUUAAUUGUGGAUUCUACAUAAUAAAAUCAAUAACCAUAAGCUGGUAAAGGAAAGAGAAUGAAAGGAGCUGAAAAAAUCCUUUAGCAAUUUGUGGGCCAUAGUUUAAAAAGACUUGUUUCUGUGGCCAUUUAAAGUCCCAGUGAUGAAGGACAUUAUUUUACAAGCUGUUCCUGAUUGUAGCACCUAUCUCCAUCUCCAUCCUCCUUUCUCUAGGUGGAAGAGAUUCACAUACAGAGAGGCUAAACUGCCAACCACAUAACAGAGCAUUUCAUGAGUGUCCCUGCUGUCUCCUCCUUGGACUUCUGGCUUUUGCUCUCUUUUCCUCAGAUCUGAACUCUGUCCCAGUAGCUGUGGUUAUUGCAGUUCCUGGGCCGAGACCUUAGUCUUCUUCUAUAGCCUUUGAAGUUGCUCAGAAGGGGCUGUCACAUGUCCUAGGAAGAGAAGGACAAAAUCAAAAUGACUUUUCCCUUCUAAUUGUUCUAUUUAUUUCUGAAGAAGGAAGUUUGUCAAAGACCUAGAAAUCUUGCUGAAGAAGCACAGAAUUAGAGGGCAACCAAGAGGUCUUCACAGGUGUGUGUGUGCAUCAACCCUAGGGCUAAUCUCUGGCCUAAGGUAACCAGUGGACAUUGCCACUCAUAUCUAACAUCCCCCAUUACCUGGUAGUUAAGGUGCUUCUCUGGUCUGACCUUUAAGGAGCUUCUCCUGACCUCCAAAGAAGGAAAUAGCAUAAGGUUGAUAUUCAUCUUUAGGAUAGUGACUUCAGAACCAUUUCCCCAUAUCCCCAAAUUUUAAUAGUCAAGAAACCCAUAGAACAGUACAUUACAUUGAAGUUAAUGUUGCUUUAUUUUAUAGAUGAGAAGAAUUUAGAACAGCACUUGAGAGGACAAGACACUACCCAGAGCCAUUUCUUUUAUGAGACAGGGUUUCUCUGUGUAGCUUUUGCACCUUUCCUGGAACUCACUUGGUAGCCCAGGCUGGC